UACAUGAAUGUCUUUAUGUGGAAUAUGUGAAGCUGCUCAGACGUUAUUCUGGACACAUCAGCUCUGAGAGCUUCAAGCUCCACAGAACUUCUACAGAUUCUUUCUGUCAUUGUGAAGAAACAUCUUGAAGAAUGAGAAGCCUGAUGUGUGUGCUGUUCCUGGUGAUCUUCUGCUCUAAGCGGUGCACUUCAUAUGCUGCUCCUGCAGCUCCUGUGUGGUGUUGCUUUGAUUUUAUUGACUUUCAAAUUCCAUCCAAAA